GCGGGGUUGGCAGAGUGGCAGAAUGUAAAGGUCAAGUCUCCUCGGGGGGUCGAGUCCCUCACCCCGCA
rnacentral:tRNA from 1 species